GAUGAACGCUGGCGGCGUGCUUAACACAUGCAAGUCGAGCGAGAAGUCUUAAACUGAUUUUUCGGCUGAAGUUUAAAACGGAUAGCUGCGGACUGGUGAGUCUCGCCUAGGCAACCUGCCCCAUACAAAAGGCUAGCACUUGGAAACGAUUAUUAAUACCUUAUGAUACUUAACUAGUGCAUGCUAGGUAGGUCAAAGAUUUUUCGGUAUGGGAUGGGCCUGCGUCUGAUUAGCUCGUUGGUGAGGUAACGGCUCACCCAGGCGACGAUCAGUAGCCGACCGGGGAGAGUGAACGGCCACAUUGGAACUGAGGCACAGUCCAAACUCCUACGGGAGGGAGCAGAGUGGAAUAUUGCACAAGGGGGGAAGCCGUGAUGCAGCAACGCCGCGUGAACGAUGAAGGCGUUUGUGACGUAAAGUUCUGUUCUAGGUGAUGAAAACUGACAGUAACCUAGGAGAAAGCCCCGGCUAACUCCGUG
rnacentral:rRNA from 1 species